GCAUAUCAAUAAGCGGAGGAAAAGAAACUAACAAGGAUUCCCUUAGUAACUGCGAGUGAAGUGGGAAGAGCUCAAAUUUGAAAUCUGGCAGCUCUAUAGUUGUCCGAAUUGUAAUCUGGAGAAGUGCUACCUGUGCUGGACCAUGUACAAGUCUCCUGGAAUGGAGCAUCAUAGAGGGUGAGAAUCCCGUCUUUGACAUGGACUCCCAGGACUUCAAUGGUACGCUCUCAAAGAGUCGAGUUGUUUGGGAAUGCAGCUCAAAAUGGGUGGUAAAUGCCAUCUAAAGCUAAAUAUUGGCGAGAGACCGAUAGCGAACAAGUACCGUGAGGGAAAGAUGAAAAGAACUUUGGAAAGAGAGUUAAACAGUACGUGAAAUUGCUGAAAGGGAAACGCUUGAAGUCAGUCGCAUCAGCUGGAAAUCAACCUUUGCUUUUGCUUGGUGUACUUUCCAUCUUGAUGGGUCAGCAUCAAUUUUGGCUGCUGGAUAAAGUUCUUGGGAAUGUAGCAUCUCAGGAUGUGUUAUAGCUCUUGGACGUAUACAGCAGUUGGGAUUGAGGAACUCAGCACGCCAUAUAGGCUGGGCUUGUCCACAUAACGUGCUUAGGAUGCUGGCAUAAUGGCUUUAAUCGACCCGUCUUGAAACACGGACCAAGGAGUCUAACAUGCCUGCAAGUGUUUGGGUGGAAAACCCAUGCGCGCAAUGAAAGUGAUAGUUGAGAUCCCUGUCAUGGGGAGCACCGACGCCCAGACCAGAGCUUUUGUGACGGAUCUGCGGUAGAGCAUGCAUGUUGGGACCCGAAAGAUGGUGAACUAUGCCUGAAUAGGGUGAAGCCAGAGGAAACUCUGGUGGAGGCUCGUAGCGAUUCUGACGUGCAAAUCGAUCGUCAAAUUUGGGUAUAGGGGCGAAAGACUAAUCGAACCAUCUAGUAGCUGGUUCCUG
rnacentral:rRNA from 2 species